rnacentral:lncRNA from 1 species
AUGAUUGGUUUCUGGAGACUAACCUUGCUUUCUUAUGGAGUUGAUGCAUUCUUCUCUUUCUAUUUUUUUUACUUCUCUGUCCAUCUUCGUCAGACUUUGUGCUGGAGUUAGGCUUAGUAAACUAGCAUAUUUCAAAGUGAAUUUAAGAUCAAUAGUUGAACAAGCGUUUAUGCUUCUCUUAGAAUUUCAGUUAACACUAUAAUAUAUUCGUUUACCUGAGUUAUAGUAGAUUGAUUCAUUUCUAUAAACUACUACCAAUUCUACCUAUUAUUCACCAGCAAUUACUACAUUUUUAACAUACCUUAACAAACAAUUGUAGUUUCAAUCAUCGAGUUGAACAAUCACUAACCUUUAGAAUGAUCCGAUUAUGAAAUGAACAAUUGAUUGAUUUGUCUUCUGUACUCCAUUGCUUGAUUACGCACUCGGUUUAUAGCACCAACCUUUACAUGCAUAUACUGAAGUAGCCAGAUUAGAUUCAAUGCUUCAUGGAGAUUUGAAUCGCCGGAGGUUUUGAUCUGCUACAAUCCCAUCCGAAUUUGAGAGAACUUAUUUGCAAUCCGAAACAUUAAUCGAAAUCUUGAUAGUAUGAGAAGCUUAAUUCAGAGCUUGAAGAUUGCAGAGGAUCGUGAAUUGAAGAUCUAAGCCUGUCGGAAUUGAAAAUUCCGUUAAGGCACCGACCGGUUUGGUAUCAUCUAACCAAGCCAUUUCUUCGGUUUUGCUUUUUGUUUUUGGUUUUGGUUUGU